AGUGAACGCUGGCGGUAGGCCUAACACAUGCAAGUCGAACGGCAGCACAGUAAGAGCUUGCUCUUACGGGUGGCGAGUGGCGGACGGGUGAGGAAUACAUCGGAAUCUACUUUUUCGUGGGGGAUAACGUAGGGAAACUUACGCUAAUACCGCAUACGACCUACGGGUGAAAGCAGGGGAUCUUCGGACCUUGCGCGAUUGAAUGAGCCGAUGUCGGAUUAGCUAGUUGGCGGGGUAAAGGCCCACCAAGGCGACGAUCCGUAGCUGGUCUGAGAGGAUGAUCAGCCACACUGGAACUGAGACACGGUCCAGACUCCUACGGGAGGCAGCAGUGGGAAAUAUUGGACAAUGGGCGCAAGCCUGAUCCAGCCAGACCGCGUGGGUGAAGAAGGCCUUCGGGUUGUAAAGCCCUUUUGUUGGGAAAGAAAAGCAGCAGGUUAAUACCCCGCUGUUCUGACGGUACCCAAAGAAUAAGCACCGGCUAACUUCGU
rnacentral:rRNA from 1 species